rnacentral:tRNA from 1 species
CUUUAGUGCAGUAGACAACACAUCAGUCUUCUAAACUGAAGGUCCUGAGUUUGAGUCUCGAAAG